rnacentral:rRNA from 1 species
AUUGAACGCUGGCGGCAUGCCUUACACAUGCAAGUCGAACGGCAGCACGGGUGCUUGCACCUGGUGGCGAGUGGCGAACGGGUGAGUAAUACAUCGGAACGUACCUUAUCGUGGGGGAUAACGCAGCGAAAGCUGUGCUAAUACCGCAUACGCCCUGAGGGGGAAAGCGGGGGAUCGCAAGACCUCGCGCGAUUAGAGCGGCCGAUGCCUGAUUAGCUUGUUGGUGGGGUAAAAGCCCACCAAGGCGACGAUCAGUAGCUGGUCUGAGAGGACGAUCAGCCACACUGGGACUGAGACACGGCCCAGACUCCUACGGGAGGCAGCAGUGGGGAAUUGUGGACAAUGGGGGCAACCCUGAUCCAGCAAUGCCGCGUGAGUGAAGAAGGCCUUCGGGUUGUAAAGCUCUUUUGUCAGGGAAGAGACACCGGCUCUAACACAGUCUGGGAAUGACGGUACCUGAAGAAUAAGCACCGGCUAACUACGUGCCAGCAGCCGCAGUAA